GCGCUGUGAGAGACGAGACGCACAGGGUCUCACAGAAAACCAGCUGCCUGUCAUGGUCAACCUCCAUCACUUCUGCGCUUGAGUCUGGGAGGCAAGAGGGAAGUGUGUGAGCAUCAGUGUCCAGUACAACAGGAAGAAACAGGCCUCUCCAGCCCCAGAGGGAGACGAUAACAUGAUUAGUUCUGACUGGUUGGCACUGGACUAUGUUACGGACUGGAAUGACACAAAAACUGGACUCACCCCAGCUGGAGAGCAUCAUUUUCCAUGUUUGCAUCAAAGUGUCAGGCGUGUGUUUGUGUGAAAUCCCACUUGGCGCAGUCGCUCCAGCAGGACGGGGAUGCCCGCCAGUCUCUUGGCAGUCCUCUGGUAGUCACGGUAACGAAGCACGA